GGACUUCCGGCCAGUGGGGGCCGCUGCCCCCGGGUCUCCGUCCGGGCGCGCCCUUUCCUUCUGCCCAGUGGCUUGGCGCGUCCGGGUCACAUCUGUGCUCUCGCAGAGCGGACCUCUGGGCCUCUUCUGCCCGCGACCCGAGCUCCCGAUGGGGCCCUGGCCUGGGGUCUCCAGCCGCCUUCCCAGGGUCUGUCCCGGCUUCUCCAGCGCCCACCGUGCCGCGAUCUUAUGUUGCCACAGCGACGGCUUCAUUUCUCUUUGCCUCUUUCAAGCAACCAUACCGCCAGGUCUCCCCCCCGAGUCUGCUGCUUGUAGGGCCAGGUCCCGGGCUCCGAGCGGACUCUCGCCCCGUCCCAGCCUCCUCUUCCUGCCCGGGUUUCCCAGAGAGGGCUUCCGGCUCAUCUGUGACUUGCUUGCCGUGCACCUGCCAGGCUGCAGCUCCAGGGCCUCAGGGGCGAAGCUCAAAUCUCCCGGAGCCCCUGGCCCUGGCUGUGGGAUGGACCCACAUCCCUGUACGCAUCCUGUCCUCCCCUUUCACGAGAUGGGCAGGAGUGGGCUGCAGAAACGCAGGCUGGCUGCCGUCCCGCCCUUUCCCCCUGCCAGGACUGGGUGCUCCUUCGGGAAUGAG
rnacentral:lncRNA from 1 species